AAACUUUCAACAACGGAUCUCUUGGUUCUGGCAUCGAUGAAGAACGCAGCGAAAUGCGAUAAGUAAUGUGAAUUGCAGAAUUCAGUGAAUCAUCGAAUCUUUGAACGCACAUUGCGCCCUGUGGUAUUCCGCGGGGCAUGCCUGUUCGAGCGUCAUUAU
rnacentral:rRNA from 1 species